rnacentral:rRNA from 1 species
UACGUAGGGGGCUAGCGUUGUCCGGAUUUAUUGGGCGUAAAGAGCGUGUAGGCGGCCAGAUAAGUCCGGUGUGAAAGUCACAGGCUCAACCUGUGAAUGCCGCUGGAAACUGUCUGGCUAGAGUCCGGGAGGGGCGAGUGGAAUUCCUGGUGUAGCGGUGAAAUGCGCAGAUAUCGGGAAGAACACCCGUGGCGAAGGCGGCUCUCUGGGACGGUACUGACGCUGAGACGCGAAAGCGUGGGGAGCGAACAGG